rnacentral:RNase_P_RNA from 1 species
UGAGUAGGCCGGAUGGUCGCGGACGAUGUGCUGAAAAGCCUCGUACGAGGAAAGUCCGGGCUCCACAGGGCAAAGGUGCCGGGUAAUACCCGGUGAAGGUGACUUUAAGGAAAGUGCAACAGAAAUAAACCGCCUUUCUAGAGGUUAGAUGUUGGAAGUAGUAGGAUUAAAUAUAAACUUAAAUUCUUACAUCCCACUUCUCGCAUCUAACCUCUAGAACGGUAAGGAUGGAAAGGCGAGGUAAGAGCUCACCGACCCCACGGCGACGGAGGGUGCUAUGUAAACCCCACCUGGAGCAACACCGUGAUAAGAAACAUAUAGGCUGCCCGCCUGUUUCUUAGAGGUGGCUAAAGCCUUGUAGCAAUACCAGGCGUAGAUAGAUGAUCAUUCAAGACAGAACCCGGCUUACAGGUCUGCUCAGAUU